rnacentral:rRNA from 1 species
AAGAUACUUAAUGUAUACGGUGGAUGCCUUGGGUCUUUGUGCCGAUGAAGGACGUGCAAGGCUGCGUUAAGCCUCGAGGAGCUGCCAAGAAGCGCUAUUACUCGGGGAUGUCCGAAUGGAGAAAUCCGGCCGGUGGUAACACCAGGUCACUCAUCGCCAAAAGUUUGCCUUAGGGUGAAUAUAGGCGAUGUAGAGGGAACUCGGCGAAUUGAAACAACUUAGUAGCCGGAGGAAUAGAAACUAAGAUAAGCAUUUCCUAAGUAGCGGCGAGCGAAAGGGAAGAAGCCCAAACCUAAGGCUGAUAGGGAAACACAGGGGUCGCAAGACUCCAAGUUUUCUUGUCAGUUGAGGGGGUGUGACAACCCGCGUCGAUUAAAUCGACAAGAAGUUUAAGAAAAAUACUUUGGUAGAAGAAGUAAGCUGGAAAGCUUUGCCACAGAAGGUAAUAGCCCUGUAUUCGAAACCAUUGUAUCUUCUUGGGUUGAUCCGGAGUAGCACGGGACACGCGAAACCCCGUGUGAAUACAGCUGGACCAUCAGCUAAGGCUAAAUACACAAAGACACCGAUAGUGAACUAGUACCGUGAGGGAAAGGUGAAAAGAACCGCGAGUAGCGGAGUGAAAUAGUACCUGAAACCGUAUACAAACAAACAGCCAAAGCUUGCUCUUGUAGUGAGUGAUGGUGUGCCUAUUGAAGAAUGAGCCAGCGAGUUAAUAUUGCGCGCAAGCUUAAUCCGUUCUGCGGAGGAGGCAAAGGGAAACCGAGUCUGAAUAGGGCGUUCCCCGCUUUGGCGGGGGUAGUGCGUAGUAUUAGACCCGAAGCCAGGUGAGCUAACCAUGGGCAGGGUGAAGCCCCGCGAAGGCGGGGUCGAGGCCCGAACCGGUGUGCGUGGAAAAGCGCUCGGAUGACCUGUGGUUAGAGGUGAAACGCCAAACGAACCUGGCGAUAGCUGGUUCUCCCCGAAAUAUGUUUUGGCAUAGCCUUGGUCGUGUGAGGCGCGUGAGGUAGAGAUACUGGAAAGGGAUGGGGCGGCUUGCUGUACCCACUCUUACCAAACUCCGAAUGCGCGCGUCUUUUGACCGGGAGUCAGCAAUGCGGAGCAAGUUCGUGUUGCAAGAGGGAAACAGCCCAGACCAUCGGAUAAGGUCCCUAAUCUUUGCUAAGUGGGUAAGGAAGUGGAACUGUUUAGACAGCUAGGAGGUUGGCUUAGAAGCAGCCAUCCUUUAAAGAAAGCGUAACAGCUCACUAGUUAAACGGUUCUGCGCCGACGAUUUAACGGGGCUAAGCAAAGUACCGAAGCCGUGGGUGUUGUCUGCAUUAGCGGAUGACGCAGUAGGGGAGCAUCCCGCCAACUGUGAAGAUGUACCCGUGAGGGACGUUGGAGUGGGCGGGAGAGAGAAUGCUGGCAUGAGUAACGAGAGAAGGGUGAAAACCCCUUCCGCCGUAAGUCUAAGGUUUCCUCCGCUAUGGCAGUCAACGGAGGGUUAGUCGACCCUAAGGUGAGGCCGAAAGGCGUAGCCGAUGGAUGGCAGGUUAAUAUUCCUGCACUGCUGCAAAUUCGUUUUCACCAAUGUGGGGACGGAGCAUGAGGGAUUAAGCCCAUUAUUGGAUUUGGGUCCAGAAGGCAAGCUAGUCUGCGUAGGCAAAUCCGCGCGGACGCUAACGUGAGCCGGUGGAAACGGCCCUAAAAAGCCGAAUUUAAUUCUGUUAAGCUUCCCGGAAAAGCCUCUAGGGAGAAUUUGUAGCAUCCGUACCGCAAACCGACACAGGUAGACGGGUAGAGAAUACCAAGGCGAACGAGUGAAUCGUGACCGAGGAACUAGGCAAAUUACUACCGUAACUUAGGAAAAAGGUAGCCCCGCGUAGCCCGCAAGGGUGAAGUGGGGGGCACAAAAAUGGCUCAAGCGACUGUUUAACAAAAACACAGGUCUCUGCUUAACUCGUAAGAGGAAGUAUAGGGGCUGACGCCUGCCCAGUGCCCGUAAGUCAAGUCUGGAGGUGAUCCCACUUUGCUCGAAAGAGCUUUGCGGGAGAGCUUUCGGCACAAGCUCGGGUGAACGGCGGUCUUAACUGUAAGGAUCCUAUGGUAGCGUAAUCCCUUGCCGGGUAAGUUCCGGCCUGCACGAAAGGCGUAACGACUUGAGCGCUCUCUUAGUCACGAGCUCGGUGAAAUUGAAAUACCCGUGAAGAUGCGGGUUACUUGUUGUUGGACAGAAAGACCCCGUGGAGCUUUACUAUAACUUGACAUUGACAGGCGAUGCCAACUGUGUAGCGUAGGAGGGACCUCGCCGCAAGGCGGGGGACAAUGAAACACCUCUCUUUUGGUAUUGUGAGUCUUACCAUCUCGCCUAAACCGGCGGGAGGGACACUGUCUGGUGGGUAGUUUAACUGGGGCGGUUUCCUGCUAAAAGGUAACGCAGGAGCCCAAAGGUUCCCUUAGCGCCGAUGGAAAUGGCGCUGUAAGCGUAAAGGUAUAUGGGAGCUUGAUUGCAAGACCUACAAGUCGAGCAGGUGCGAAAGCAGGGCUUAGUGAUCUUCCGUGUGCCAAAUGGAUGGCCCGGAACUUAACGGAUAAAAGUUACCCCGGGGAUAACAGGCUGAUCUUGCCCGAGCGUUCACAGCGGCGGUGGGUUCAAUACGUUGUGAGACAGUAUGGUCCCUUUCCACAACAAGCGUUUGAGUUUUGAGGGGAGCUAUUUCUAGUACGAGAGGAUCGAAAUGGACAAACCUCUAGUGUUCCAGUUGUCGCGCCCGCGGCAUCGCUGGGUAGCUACGUUUGGACGGGAUAAGCGCUGAAAGCAUCUAAGCACGAAGCCCACCCCAAGAUUAAAACUCUGGCCGCCGAGAGGCGGCCCACACCUCCUGGGAGAUCACCAGGUUGAUAGGCCGCAGGUGUAAGCACAGCAAUGUGUUCAGCCAAGCGGUACUAAUGC